UCCCACGCAUCUGCAGCAGCGCUUUAUGAACAGAAACUCCUGUGCAAUCUGGACGUUCCAGCAGGCUUCUGAACUCUGCAGGCUGCAGCGUUUUCUUCCUUUAGCUACCAGCACACCAGCGCAUUAGAGUGUUUUUUAGUUUUAGAGUAGAAAUAAACUAUUCUGGUCAAUUUUUCCAGCGCAUUGUACCAGUUUCAUAACCCUUCCAGUGCUACUGAGGUGUGUCCGGUUUGGUCCUCACAUGGAAACGGCAAUGCCCAACUCAGCACAGGGGGCUGAGACACCGGGCGAAUGGAAGGAGAGGUUAAGAAUAGAAAGGUGUUAUCACACCUGCCGUGCAUUCACAACAUCCAUGUCUUCAUGCUCUGCUGUUUGAGUGCCGCUUCUAGAAUCUUCUCAGCACCUGACCCACUCUACCUGCCUCCCUGCCCCUGCGCAGUGGGUACAAAGCUCUAUACUUCUCUAGAAAGCAGGCAGGACCAAUUACCAUCACUAGGUGGCACACACACAUCAGCAGGAAGAUGAACUGUGGAAACCAUGAAGAGGAUACGGACUGUGUGUUGUGAGUGCCUGCCCCUAGCCUGGUAUGCUGAGUUGCUCUGGCGCGGCUGAAAAUCAUGGAGGUGAGAAAACCCUGGGAUCCAUCAGAAAUCUCCUUAGAAGACACCACUCUGAAGCCCUGGGGUGUAGGUGGUCUGGUGGGCUAUGUUCUCACUCUAUAAAGAUGACGGCAGAACUCUGAAGGUCUUCACAACAACUCAAUGAAGUAGGUGUUAAUAUAAUCCCUGCACCAAACUAAGGAAAGAUACCAGCUCCGAGAUGGGAAUGCGGCACUCACGAGCAGCACCUGUGUGGCAGUUACUGUUGUGAAUAUCACCACCUUCAUAUUUUUUCCACCUUAGACAUUGAACUUGACUUGACUGCUCUCCUAGAGUCUCGCAAUUCUCCUCGAGAUUAAUUUUUCAGGACUUUCAAACUAGGACGAUUUAAAAAUAUAGGAAAAAAUGUUCAACGUAACUGGUUAUUCCAGAGAUGCAAAU